GUAGGGGUGGGGCUCAGUUGGUGGACUGAUUGCCUAGCAUGCAUAUGGCCCUAGGUUUGAUCCCUAGCACAUAUG
rnacentral:tRNA from 1 species